rnacentral:lncRNA from 1 species
AUGUUUUUAUGUUGCUUUAUUAACGCAAUUAUUAUUAUUUUUUAAACAUUGUAUUCAAACUGUUAUGUGACACGUAUUAAUGCCAAAAUAACAUGCUAAUCAGGCUCACCAAAAAAAACAUAUAUUUUUUUUAGCUAAACAGUUGGGGCUGAAAACACCUGAAGGACGGGUCGCCACUGCAUAACAGUCCGUUAUCUUGAUCAGUAAUGGUCUUUUAGGAAAUGGCUACUGUUGACAUGGAUACCGCAACUGUUAUGACUGUUUCUAUGGAAACGGUUACCAAGAGCAAGGUCGGCCUCCCUUGGUGUCAUGGCAACACAACGCCGGCGGAAACAUCAAAUCAACAUCCAGUUCUGGUUAGUAUUAGAUUUUAGUUGUAAACCCAACGUACUUUCAACUUGAAAUAAACCAACGAUACAGUAUAUUGCACUAAUCAAUGAUAAAAGUUGAUGAGAUGAUGGCCUGAGUGUCUGUAUGUUUGUGUUAUCAUGCGAAUUCGUCAUGCCAAACUGGUUAGCUUAAAACAUUGACAAUGACAGCAAGACAUGGAGUUGUCAAGGGCACAAUAGAUUUAGGACCAGGUUAAUAAGAACACAAUAGAUUUAGGACCAGGUUAAUACGAACACAAUAGAUUUAGGACCAGGUUAAUAAGAACACAACAGAUUUAGGACCAGGUUAAUAAGAACACAAUAGAUUUAGGACCAGGUUAAUAAGAACACAAUAGAUUUAGGUCCAGGUUAAUAAGAACACAACAGAUUUAGGACCAGGUUAAUAAGAACACAAUAGAUUUAGGACCAGGUUAAUAAGAACGCAAUAGAUUUAGGACCAGGUUUAUAAGAACACAAUAGAUUUAGGACCAGGUUAAUAAGAACACAACAGAUUUAGGACCAGGUUAAUAAGAACACAACAGAUUUAGGACCAGGUUAAUAAGAACACAAUAGAUUUAGGACCAGGUUAAUAAGAACACAAUAGAUUUAGGACCAGGUUAAUAAGAACACAAUAGAUUUAGGACCAGGUUAAUAAGAACACAACAGAUUUAGGACCAGGUUAAUCAGAACACAAUAGAUUUAGGACCAGGUUAAUAAGAGAGGGAGAGAGAGGCAGAGAGACAGAGAGAGAGAAGGGGAGAGAGAGAGCGAGAGAGAGAGAAGGGGAGAGAGAGAGAGAGAGAGAGAGAGAGAGAGAGAGAGAGAGAGAGAGAGAGAGAGAGAGAGAGAG